rnacentral:rRNA from 1 species
UGGGGAAUAUUGGACAAUGGGCGAAAGCCUGAUCCAGCAAUGCCGCGUGAGUGAUGAAGGCCUUAGGGUUGUAAAGCUCUUUUACCCGGGAUGAUAAUGACAGUACCGGGCGAAUAAGCCCCGGCUAACUCCGUGCCAGCAGCCGCGGUAAUACGGAGGGGGCUAGCGUUGUUCGGAAUUACUGGGCGUAAAGCGCACGUAGGCGGCUUUGCAAGUCAGAGGUGAAAGCCCGGGGCUCAACCCCGGAAUUGCCUUUGAGACUGCAUCGCUUGAACAUCGGAGAGGUAAGUGGAAUUCCGAGUGUAGAGGUGAAAUUCGUAGAUAUUCGGAAGAACACCUGUGGCGAAAGCGGCGCACUGGACCACAACUGACGCUGAGGCGCGAAAGCUAGGGGAGCAAAC